UAAAUAAUGAUUCAUUGACAUGGAAAAAAAUAGGCAGGUAAAACAUGGAUGACAAAUUUGAGAAUACAAAAUCCUUAUCUAAACUUCUUAUUUAUAGCUCAAAACAUGGUUCUGUAACAUCGUUAGUCGAAUGCUUUUUAAGCUAUAAUAAAUAAGACAUAAUUCUCUACCACUCUUCAAAGAAUUUUAGAAAAAGUGAAAAUGUAUCCUGUUUUUUCAGUGAAAUGUCAUACCAGACAACUGAAGAGAGAAAAUAAUGUAAUGGAGGGUACUAAUGUCAUUGGCAUUAGACCUUAUUUUCCUGUUAGCUAACCAUAAAUUGUGUGAGUAACCAAGGACAAUGGAUGUAAUGUUACCAAGUUUUUCUUUCAACUCCUUAAAAACCUGUUUCACUACUAGUCUGUUUAACAACUAUGGAAUGUCUCUUCUCGAGCUAUAUGCAUUUACCAUACAGGGCAGGAAACUCUUCUCUGUCAUUCUUCAGAACUCCAGUUAAAUAUGAAGCUGGAGUGCCUUUUGUGUUUCUAACUGUUCACUUUCUAUAUAAUGCUACCAUAAACAUUCCUGUAUGUGUUAAGGUGUUUGGGAUUUUUUUUUUUUUUAUCCCUUGGAGGGAUGUGGGCUUUCUGUAAAUAUGUUUUGUAUGCUUGUGAUUAAAUACAUCCAAAAUAUUAUCCAGACUGGCUCAAGUUUAUACACCCAUCAGAUGAUCAUGUUUCCCUGCAUCCUUAUAGACAAUAAAGUGAAUUGAUUUUGGUAAAUCUGAAGGGCAUAAAGCAGUAUGUUACUAUUGUUUGAAUUUGCAUUGUUUGAUUACUAACAAGAUUGGAAAUGUCUUCAUAUGUUCAUGAGACACUUUGGUUUCUCAUUUCGUGAAGUGCUUCUGCAUAUGCUUUGUUUUUUUGUUUGUUUGUUUUUGCAGUGAAAGCCCAAUGACCUAACCACUGGACCACCAGGGAAUUGCCCUUUGUCUGCUUUUCUAUUGGGUUUUCUGGUUACUUUUGAGAAGCUCUUUAAAAUUUUUAAUUAUUGGUCCUUUGUUGAUGAUACACACUGCAAAGAAUAGAUUCCCAGAUUGCCAUCCAUUGCUGAUGUCUUGUUGAACACAAAUCUUUACAUUUCAUGUGGAUAGAUCCAUCACGUUUUACCUUACAGGUUGUGCUUUCUACCACCUUGUUAGAAAGCACAACCUUGUGCUUUCUACAGUCUUGUUAACAAACUCCUCUGUAAACCCAAAGUCACAGAACUGUUUUCCUACAUUUUCUCCUAGUAAUGUUCUGGUUGUAACUUUUGUGUUUAGGUCUGAAUUUCUCUGUAUGUAAGAAUGAUUCAAGUUUUUUGUUCAUUCAAGUGAGCCAAUUUCAUCGGUACUAUUUGUUAAAUAAUGCAUUCUUCUCCCAGUGAUUCAUGAUAACAAUUUGACCGUAUAUCACUCCCCAUGGGCAUAAUUGGCAUACAAAUUUGUGUCUGUACUCAUUAUAUUCCUAGCUGUUCCUGCAAUUGUAUCACGUUUUAACAGUUACUUCAAACAUUAUAGCUUUCCAGUAUGUCUUUCUUUUAAUUGGAGUAUGAUUGCUUUACAGUGUUAUGUUUUUGUUGUAUAAUAAAAUGAAUCAGCUCUAUGUGUACAUAUAUCCCCUCCCUUUUGGAUCUCACUCCCCAAUCCCCAUCCCAUGUGUAAAAUAAAUAGCUAGUGGAAACUGCUAUAAAGCACAGAAAGCUCAGUUCAGUACAGUAUGUGUUAAUAUCAAGUAGUGUGCAGCUCAGUACAGUAUGCCUUAAUAUCAGGUAGCGUGAAUUUAUUCUCUUUGCUCUUCUUUUGAGAAUUGUUUUAGCAAUUGGUGGACUUUUCCUUCUUCCAUGUAAAUUUAGAAUCAGUUCCAAAUUCUAUCUAAAGUCUUGUUGGAAUUGCAUUACAAUUAUGAUCAUUUUAGAGGGAAUUGACAUCAUUAUAGUGUUAAAUCUUUGCUUUCAUAAACAUUGUAUUUUUCUCCAUUUACUUAGGUCUCUUUUAAUGUUCUUUAAAAUUUUUUCCAUAAAGGUUGUAUGCAGUUUUUUUUUAAUCAAUAACUAGAUUCUUUAGUUGCCUUUAGCAGUUUUCUUAGUUUUGAAGACUUUUUAUUGUAAGUAGGAUUAAACUUUAGCAGUGAUUUUUUUUCUAUAGCUAUUGAGAUAAACAUGGGCUUUCUCCUAUAAGUCUGCUAAUAUGAAUUUCAUUGGUUGAUUUUCUAAUAUUGAAUUAUCUUUGUAUUUCUAGGAAAACUGUACCUGUAGAAAAAAAAUUUUAAUACAGUGUUGGAUUCAGUUAGCUAAUAUUUCACACAGGAUAUUUGCCUCUAUAGUCAUACAUGUGAUUUUCCUUACUUACACCUCCUAUAAGUGGUAUUAAGUUUAUUCUAGUCUUAUAAGUGAGUUGGGCUGUUUUUUUCUCUUGUUCUAUGCUUUACAAAAACCUGUAUGAGAUAAGAUUAAUCUUUUCUUGAAAGAUUUAGUAAAGGGUUAUCUCUAAAGUCAUUUAGGCUGGCUUGUUUUUGUUAUAUAUGGGAAAUUGCCAUUUCAAUUUUUUGAAUACUUACUAGUUUUUCAUAAGUUUUUAAAUAAUUGAAUUUUAGUUUUUGUUCAUCUCUAUUUGUUUUAUU
ensembl:lncRNA